rnacentral:rRNA from 1 species
AGAACGAACGCUGGCGGCAUGCCUAACACAUGCAAGUCGAACGCUCCUGGGGCUUCGGUCUCAGGGGAGUGGCGCACGGGUGAGUAGCGCGUGGGAACCUGCCCUGUUGUGGGGGAUAACCGAGGGAACUUCGGCUAAUACCGCAUAAGCCGGGAAACCGGGAAAGAUUUAUCGCGACAGGAGGGGCCCGCGUCGGAUUAGCUAGUUGGUGGGGUAACGGCCCACCAAGGCAGUGAUCCGUAGCUGGUCUGAGAGGAUGAUCAGCCACACUGGGACUGAGACACGGCCCAGACUCCUACGGGAGGCAGCAGUGGGAAUAUUGGACAAUGGGCGCAAGCCUGAUCCAGCAAUGCCGCGUGAGUGAUGAAGGCCUUAGGGUUGUAAAGCUCUUUCGCCGCGACGAUGAUGACGGUAGCGGAGAGAAGCCCGGCUAACUUCGCGCAGCAGCCGC